GUCCACGCCGUAAACGAUGGAUACUAGCUGUUGGGCGCAAGUUCAGUGGCUAAGCGAAAGUGAUAAGUAUCCCACCUGGGGAGUACGUUCGCAAGAAUGAAACUCAAAGGAAUUGACGGGGGCCCGCACAAGCUGUGGAGCAUGUGGUUUAAUUCGAUGAUACGCGAGUAACCUUACCAAGGCUUAAAUGUAGAUUGACCGGUUUGGAAACAGACUUUUCGCAAGACAAUUUACAAGGUGCUGCAUGGUUGUCGU
rnacentral:rRNA from 1 species